GGAGCCCUCCGUGUCGUGUGAAGGGCCACUAUGAACUUUUUUCCCCUAAAUGUGGGACAGAAACAUCUUUGAGGCAAAUAUUGAGGGGACCCCUUUUAUCUAAAUGGAUAUGCAAUUAAUAUGAAUUAUGGACACAUGGAGAGAGUAGAAUCAUAUGGAUCAAACAGAAGAAUCAGAAUAAAAGAAAUUCAGUAUUUCAUUGGGGCUUAACUUCGUGUGUUCCUUUGAAGACAAAGACUAAUUCUAAUGUAAAUUUAAGAUACACUUUUUUUUUUUUCCAAUGGAACAGGAGUGUGGUGAAGAGAAAAUGUUCUUCAUGAUUUAGCUUUAAAUAAGUCUUUAAAUAGUCUAAUUAAAUAAUG
rnacentral:lncRNA from 1 species